UUUAAUUCCAAAUUCCCAAAGCAAAGCUUUAUUUCUCUCUUCCUCAUUGUUAAUUUGCUUUCUUUUUUAGAAGUUUUAAAACCAUGGGUUUCCGGUUGCCUGGUAUUGUACACGCUAAGAAAAAUCAAGUACCUUCAAAGGGCUUGGAUGUUCCUAAAGGCUACUUUGCAGUCUAUGUUGGGGAGAGCCAGAAGAAGCGGUUUGUGAUUCCGGUUUCAUUCUUGAACCAACCAUCAUUCCAAAAUUUGUUAAGUCAAGCUGAAGAUGAAUUUGGGUAUGAUCAUCCAAUGGGUGGUAUCACAAUCCCCUGCAGUGAAGACACCUUCCUUCAUCUCAUCUCGCGCUUUGGUGUAUGAGCACAACAUGCUAAAGUUCACCAUACAUGCACAAUUUUGACACCAGUGUCUACGAGGACAAAUUUUUGGAUCUGAAUUUGCGGCCAAGACAUCCUUCAUGAGGAGGUGCUAACUGCGGAUGAAUUGAAGACAACUUCGAUCAUUCACAGUUUAUAACUUCAAAUCGCUUGUGGGAGCUGAGGAGAAAAUGGCCAGCCUAGCAGAUAAAAUUAGCCGACACCCUUGUCCAAGAAUGUUAUUGCUUUACUUGGAAUUUGAAAGCCGGCAAGAUCAGUUAUUCAACCC
rnacentral:lncRNA from 1 species